AUUUUCUUCUAAUGCAUGAUUUUCAUUGUUUAUACAGGAUUUACCCAUGGCCGUGACAUUCAAGUGCUGUGUGAUUUUCCUCUUCAGCUGUAGUGCAUUCCAACAUUGGAUGUACAAAGCUUGUCCACAGACAAAUAACAGUUCAACAAGACAACAAGUUUUAGUUCUUCCAGAGGGCACUGAAGAAGUAUGAUAUGUCAAUGACGUCACAAGGCCACGUAAUACGUGGGUUCCGCAAUUCAUUUUUACAUCGACGCACAAUAUACCUUUUCCCCCUUGGUGUAAUGUUUUACCAUUUCAGACCACGUGUGAUUCUCUUAAAGAUAAGAAUCUUUUUU